GAUUUCUGGAGUGAUUGGCUUGACCCGCUUCGCAAGAGGUGUGUGUCGACGUCGGUCUUCCAUCUUUGUAGGUUUCUGUGCGCAAGCACGGAAUUCUUACAUCUUUUACUUUGAAAAAAUUAGAGUGUUUAAAGCAGGCUUCUGCUAUGAAUACAUUAGCAUGGAAUAAUAAGAUAGGACUUCGGUUCUAUUUUGUUGGUUUCUAGAAUUGAAGUAAUGAUUGAUAGGGAUAGUUGGGGGUGCUAGUAUUCAGCGGCCAGAGGUGAAAUUCUUGGAUUCGCUGA
rnacentral:rRNA from 1 species